ensembl:lncRNA
UUUUUUUUCAACUUAAGUAUUUGUUUUCCCUAAAUGUAAAAUGUAAAACAUGAUUUUGUCUUGAAACUUCCUUUUUUUUCCCUUUCUGUACUGUUGUUUUCUUUUCUACUUUAAGAAAACAACAGUUUAGCUGCAGCAGAAAACUGUCAUGAAACAGGGACAUCAUGAUGUCAGCACAGUGCUAAAGGAGUAGUAAAGCUAUUUUUGCAUUUCCAGUGAAAUUAAACAACCAGUUUGGAGGGACAAAUGCAAUUUCAAAUUGAUAGAAUCCACAAAGUAAACUGCCAUCACUGAAGGAUAAAUGAGAUUUCUUUGAAACAGCAUCUUACAGCUCAAAUGCAUUUUUUAUUGUGUAGGUGACCUAUUCAAAUCCAAGACUACAUGUUUUUUGGCUGUACCAUCCCAUGAAAAGAAAAUAUGUUUGAAGUCUUGUCCAUCCUUCAUCCUGAGACAUUUGGUAAAGUUAAAAUCUUUCUCCAAUCAUUGAUGAAACCACUAAAAACUCAUCUCUUUGUAUCAAAGUUACAUAUAUGAAAACUUUUUCCAUGAAAACGCAUAAUUUGCUUUGUUUUAAAUGGUUUAGAUGUAACUCUACUCUUUCCUACAAUGUAUGGUUCUAUGAAGUCUCUGUCUUUCUACAUUUUUUUCAGCCUUUAUUUAACCAGAUUAAAAAAAAAAAAAACCAUUUAAAAUCACCUGCAGGAGCACACUGGAUGAUGCUAGUGUGGCAACACCAUCCAGUUUGCUAGCAGAGGUCCAGGCUGUAGCAGGUGGAAGGCCAGGCUGAAGCUAGCAGGCUGUGGAAGCCCAGGCUGAAGCUAGCAGAGGUCCAGGCUGGAGAAGGUGGAAGGCCAGGCUGAAGCUAGCAGGCUGUGGAAGGCCAGGCUGAAGCUAGCAGGCUGUGGAAGGCCAGGCUGAAGCUAGCAGGCUGUGGAAGCCCAGGCUGAAGCUAGCAAAAGUCCAGGCUGUAGCAGGAGGAAUGCCGGUAGAUUUUAAAGUCCAUAAAAGCAGUCGGGAAAGCUCCUUUUGGAUGUGAAAGUAAAGCUUCCUUGGACAACUGUUUAGCUUAAAACUGACUAAAAACACACUAAAACAGAUGUGAAUUCAGAGCACACUGACAAGCAGACAAACAAAGGACAGUGCUGGCGGCCAUCUUCUCCACUUAAUGCAGCCCGUGCACACCAGCUUACCUACAACUCUGCUCAAGCGCUGUAUAACUACCCAAUGCAAUACACAUACUAACUGGAUGCUGAUUCUGAACAAAGCUCUGUUACGGUUGGCUACUUAUGUCUGUUACAUCUAAAACUCUGGACGUUUGAAUCUGUGUUUUUGAGAAAGUUAUCAGAAUACUGCAGUUUCAAGGUGGAAAUAUUCAGUCAUGGCAUUGGCUGCUUAUUUCAUACAUGAUAUGUCUGGCAUUUUAAAAAAUGCUACAUAGACUUUUUGUCAUUAGAAAAGGUCUAAAAAUGCUUUGAUCCCCAGAACAUUUUAAAAUAAAGCUAUGAGGCUUUGACUAGACUGCAUGAGUUUGUGCUGAUUGUUG